AGCGAACGCUGGCGGCAGGCCUAACACAUGCAAGUCGAACGCCCAGCAAUGGGAGUGGCAGACGGGAUAGUAACACGUGGGAACGCGCCCUUCGGUUCGGAAUAACUCAGGGAAACUUGAGCUAAUACCGGAUACGCCCUUACGGGAAAGAUUUAUUGCCGAAGGAACGGCCCGCGUCGGAUUAGCUAGUUGGUGAGGUAAUGGCUCACCAAGGCGACGAUCCGUAGCUGGUCUGAGAGGANGACCAGCAUCACUGGGACUGAGACACGGCCCAGACUCCUACGGGAGGCAGCAGUGGGGAAUAUUGGACAAUGGGCGCAAGCCUGAUCCAGCCAUGCCGCGUGG
rnacentral:rRNA from 1 species